ACCUGGGUAGCUAAAUUGGUUAAGCAUCUGACUUUGGCUCAGGUCAUGAUCUUGCGGUUCGUGAGUUCAAGACCCACAUAGGGUU
rnacentral:tRNA from 1 species